rnacentral:tRNA from 1 species
GGGGUUGUGGCUCAGCGGUAGAGCGCUCACCUAGCAUGUGCAAGGCCCUGGGUUUGAUUCUCAGCACCA